UACGUAGGGGGCAAGCGUUGUCCGGAAUCAUUGGGCGUAAAGAGCGCGUAGGCGGUCCGGUAAGUCCGCUCUGAAAGUCCGGGGCUCAACCCCGGGAGGCGGGCGGAUACUGCCGGGCUAGAGUCCGGAAGAGGCGAGUGGAAUUCACGGUGUAGCAGUGAAAUGCGUAGAUAUCGUGAGGAAGACCAGUGGCGAAGGCGGAUCUCUGGACAGCUCCUGACGCUGAGGCGCGAAGGCUAGGGGAGCAAACGGG
rnacentral:rRNA from 1 species